ensembl:lncRNA
AUGGCUCACCAGCAGCCCAGGGGAUCCCUGACAUCUAGCAGGUACCAAUCCCAGGACUAUGGGGCAGACUCAGGAGGCAGCACAUGGGGAACAUUCUCAGACUUGGGGCAGCAUCACUGGCUCUCAGGGAGGUGUCCUGUGAGGAAGAGGAAUGAGCUUUCAGUGCCUGGACGUUGUGACAGUUCUUUGGGCCAUUCAAAGACCUUGUGGCCUAUUUCUUGGCCCCUAAAACAUCCUGAAGAGGUAAGAUUGCCUGAGAGUUGCAUUCCAUGUUAUCAACUUGUAACCACAUUUGGUUUGGGGGGACUUUCAGUUUCUUUUCUUAGAGGAGCUUCUGCAUUAACUUCAGCAGGUUAAUGUAAGAAAUCACACCCUCUGGCCAACACAGGAGCCCAGGAGUUGACCAAGUGUGAAUGGAUGGGCCAAGGCUGUCCACAGAGUGAAUUUUACAUAAGUAGCCACUUGUGAAGUGAUUCCAGGGGUGCCAUCUAGCGAAACACUAGCCAGAUGAUUCUUCAAUGAAAGUAUGGAAACCCUUAGUUGUCACUGAGCUGAGUAAUGGCCUCAGUCACACCUCCAGGCCAACAGCUUCUGCUCAGAGACAAAUGCUGUUUCUUCACUUGCCAGUCCACACAUUCCACAGCCUCUUCAUUUGCAUCUGGUAUCCCAUGUUGGCUGGGCCAUUGUAAAACCUGCAGCUGUGUCUGUCCUUUCUUCUCGGGGCCCAUGAGGAAGGUGGUUGUGGGAACAGAUUCUCAAGACAACUGUUGUCUGUGGAGACCCCAUUGCCACUGACACCUCUGGGCCUAUGGGACAUGACAGAUGGCCCUGGGCUGUGGGAAGCUGUCCCAGGAGGUUGGGUCCACCACCCACAAAUAGACGUUCAUCUUUCUGGAGCUGGAGAUUUGGUUCCUGGGCUCAUUUUUAUGUGCUGUUUCUGUCGGCCAUUCUCCUUAGAACAACCUUGGCCAACUGGGGAAUAAGAGAGAGAUUAUGCUGUGUCGGCGUUGAGAGGGUUAUUCCAAGAUGGGCGAGUGGCUAGCUGGGGACUUUUUGGAUAGGGUUGGGCAUGCCUUUUCUUGGCAGGGCUUGGUUUUGGUUUGGACUGUGCACUCUCUUAGGAAGGGUACUGGGGGUGUGUAGUGCCAGGAGAGGCCCCAGAUGCCAGCUAUCACAUUGAAGGCAGUUUCUUCCAAGGCGCAGCUGUUAUGAGUCAGGGAGGGUCUGUUUACACAACCCAUGCAUCAGGGUCUUAGAGGGCUCUCCUUGCCUUCUUAGACCCUGUCACAUGGCUUUGAGGAGUACCUGUUCUCUGUGUGCCCAGCUGGGCCAGGCCCAGAACAUUCAGCCUCUGUGAUAGGAAACACAGGCUGGGAGGUGGGUGCUGUGGCCUCAAGCCUCAUGUCUGCCAAGAAAAUGGGACAACAGAUGCAGACAUUUCCUCUCUCCUUUUUUGAACCCAGUGCCCUCGUUUGUCAUUGAGGGGGCCAGAUUAGAGGCCCUCCCAGGUUUCUUCCAGAUAACAUAACACCCAUAAAGCCACCUGCCUGGCAAAUCUCCUCAGUAAAGGGUGUAGGUGUUUGUCCCCAUGUGCAGCCCCUCAGGCACAGAACUCAUGCAGGCAGGAGAUGUGUUUCAUCCUUCCUGGCAACCAUUCAGGUCUUCUCUUUGUCUUCAGAGCUAUACGGUUUCACUACAAUAUAUCUAAGUGUGACUUUUUUUUUGAUAUUUAUUUAUUUUUAUUUUUAUUUUACUUUUCCUACUUGGAAUUCGUUGGCUUCUAAAACCCAAGGGUUAACAACUUUUACCAAUUCUGGAAAAGUAUCUACCAUCAUCUCUUUAAUUCUUCAUCCUCAUCCUAUUAUCUCUGGGAAAUCUGAUGAGAUAUAUAAUAAACUUUUUUCAGUCUAUCUUAUAGUAAAUGUUUGAGAGGAAUACAACCAAAUACAACAAAAACAAGUACUUUUUGCCCACAGGUUCGUGAGUUGGCUGGGGAGGUUCUGCUCUAUCCAGAGCCACGUGGUUCAGGUCUGAUCCACCUGGCUCUCCUUCCAGGACCCAGGCUGCAGGGGCACAGUUACCUGGGUGAAUUCUCAGGCCUUAUAGGGCCAAGAUGAACCACAGAAGUACAUUUAACUUCUGCACAUAUCAUGGCCACUCACAUUCCAUUGGCUGAAGGAAGUCACAUGGCAAAACUCCAAAUAAGGGGGUGAGAGGUCCACUUCAGCCAUGGAGUUGGUUGGGGAAGAUGAUUAUUUGCUGAGCAAUAAUACAAUCUACCUCAGCCUGUCCAUCUUUAUCACAAAUAUUCACUUCACUCCCUCGAGCAAAAUGCACUUACUUCCUCCCCAGAAUGGUUCAAAAAUUUCCAAUCCAAUCACAGCAUCAGGUUGGAAGUCUUGUCUCCAUUAGUUCCUAUUCACCCAGAGGCCCAUGAACUAAAGAGACAAGUAUUUGCCCCCAAUCCACCCGCCAAAAAACCACAGUAUACAAUUGAAGAGCUGGGACAAAGUAACCACAACUAUCCCAUUUGAAAGGGGGACAAGCAGGAAGCACAGAACAGGGGUUCACAGCAGAUUCUUCCUUUGGAGAAAAUACUGUGAGGUCCUCCUACCCCGGGGUUAGACAAUAUUCCUGGAUUAGGUCCUGCUUCUGCUCUCUGGGAAUAGCUCCCAGAUCCAUUGGCUCCUGGUUUCAUCCUCUGGGAGUUCCUUCCUUUCCACCAUUUUCAUUGUCAACUUCCAGAAGAAAAAGCAUUAAAAAUAUGCCCUCCGUACAGUGGCUGAGUACUUUUCUCAGCCUACCUUCUGCCAAUAGAAAGUGGGAGUCCACGGCUUUUUUGUUUGUAUGAGUCAGUCGUUAUUGGUUGCAUUUUAUCAGGUGCUACAAGAAAUGAACUCAGUGAAGAACUGACCAGUUUGCAAACAGAAUUGACAGUCCUGAAGUUCUCAGACUUUUGCAGUUGGAGAAUGGAACUGUUUCCUCACCAAAUUCAGGAUGCAGCCAUUAAGAUAUAGCCAUAGGUCAAAGACGAAGUUAAAGCACAGCCAUCAAGACAUUGUCUCAGAACAAAAAUCAGAUUGCAGAUAUGGCCAUCACACAACUUUGGUAAAACCUUAAAACCUCUGAUUAGAUUAAGGUCAUUAUACCUGGUAGAUUGAUUUAACAGGACAAAAUGGCUCCUAUGGAAGCCUAAAGAGCCCAAAA